AUGUUCAUACUCCAAGGUGCACCUGCCCUGAAGGAACUGGGCAUCAUGGUGCGGAAUCAUUGGUGUGAAAUGAUAUUGGGGAAGCGGAGGAAGAGGCAUGCGUACAGCGAGGAGAAGGACAAAGGACUUGAGUGGGAACCAUCUGCAUCUAAUUUCAAACACCACAGUCUGGCUGAGCUCAGAAUCUAUGGUAGGUUUAAAGCAGAAGAAAAUUUUGUUAGCUAUGCCAGAUGUGUCAUGGAAGCAGCGGUGAAUCUGGAGGACAUAAAACAAUAUAAUAAUCCAGUGUGUGAUAAUCGGAAGCACAAGGUUCCAAAGGAGUGGAUACGGAAGCAGAAGUUGUCUCUUAGGAACAAAAUCACUAAGGGGAAACUUUAA
rnacentral:rRNA from 1 species